GAAUAUAAAGAUGGGUGAAAAAUCAGUGGAGAAAAAGUCUUGAUUUGCCAGCUGCUGGCAUGAAAGUCAACAAGUCACGGCUCAAAAUGGGGCGAGGACUUUCAGGGGAAUCCCCAGAGUGACCCAUCACUAAAUGAGACAGCAGCACAGAAGGUGAAGACAGCCUUAGUUGUUUCCAGACCAUCAAACGAUAAGAGAGCUCUUCCAGACUUGGCUGGAGAAGCCAAACGCAUCUGCUGAUGAUCUUCAUGGUGACACAUGAGCCCACACUGCCCACUGAGUCUCUGGGAUGACGGGACUGUCUUCGGAUGCUGCUGGAAAUCAGAAUCCUAGCUGGGGCACAAGGCAAUGCUCCUCUCCAGCUGCUCUUCAGCAAUGCAAAGCCUCUACUAAACCCUUAACCCUCCUAAAUUAGACCUUGGGGGCUUAAGCUUGGCAUUGGGUGAACCUAUAAUUAAACCAAGCCACGAAACAGUCUCUCUGCCAGACUUUAGUGUGGAGGAUCAAGUAGGGACUUUAAUAUUUUAUGUCGGGUCGAUGCUUUCACUCCCAUUGUCCCUCCCUGUUCUCCUUAGCAGGGAAGGGGUCUUUAGUAUAAAAUAUAAAUUAUCCUAUGGGAAGAG